GUGGAUUAGAUACCCUGGUAGUCCUAGCUGUAAACGGUGCACGUUUGCUGUGAGAGGAAUCGACCCCUUUCGUGGCGAAGCUAACGCGCUAAACGUGCCGCCUGGGGAGUACGGUCGCAAGAUUAAAACUCAAAGAAAUUGACGGGGGCCUGCACAAGCGGUGGAGUAUGUGGCUUAAUUCGAUGCAACGCGAAGAACCUUACCUGGCCUUGACAUGCACGUAGUAGGAGCGUGAAAGCGUAACGAACCCGCAAGGGUAGCGUGCACAGGUGCUGCACGGCUGUCGUCAGCU
rnacentral:rRNA from 1 species